rnacentral:rRNA from 1 species
GAUGAACGCUGGCGGCGUGCCUAAUACAUGCAAGUCGAGCGAACAGAUGAGGAGCUUGCUCCUCUGAUGUUAGCGGCGGACGGGUGAGUAACACGUGGAUAACCUACCUAUAAGACUGGGAUAACUUCGGGAAACCGGAGCUAAUACCGGAUAAUAUAUUGAACCGCAUGGUUCAACAGUGAAAGACGGUUUUGCUGUCACUUAUAGAUGGAUCCGCGCCGCAUUAGCUAGUUGGUAAGGUAACGGCUUACCAAGGCAACGAUGCGUAGCCGACCUGAGAGGGUGAUCGGCCACACUGGAACUGAGACACGGUCCAGACUCCUACGGGAGGCAGCAGUAGGGAAUCUUCCGCAAUGGGCGAAAGCCUGACGGAGCAACGCCGCGUGAGUGAUGAAGGUCUUCGGAUCGUAAAACUCUGUUAUUAGGGAAGAACAAAUGUGUAAGUAACUAUGCACGUCUUGACGGUACCUAAUCAGAAAGCCACGGCUAACUACGUG